AUUGAACGCUGGCGGCAGGCCUAACACAUGCAAGUCGAGCGGAUGAAGGGAGCUUGCUCCUGGAUUCAGCGGCGGACGGGUGAGUAAUGCCUAGGAAUCUGCCUGGUAGUGGGGGAUAACGUCCGGAAACGGGCGCUAAUACCGCAUACGUCCUGAGGGAGAAAGUGGGUGAUCUUCGGACCUCACGCUAUCAGAUGAGCCUAGGUCGGAUUAGCUAGUUGGUGGGGUAAAGGCCUACCAAGGCGACGAUCCGUAACUGGUCUGAGAGGAUGAUCAGUCACACUGGAACUGAGACACGGUCCAGAUUCCUACGGGAGGCAGCAGUGGGGAAUAUUGGACAAUGGGCGAAAGCCUGAUCCAGCCAUGCCGCGUGUGUGAAGAAGGUCUUCGGAUUGUAAAGCACUUUAAGUUGGGAGGAAGGGCAGUAAGUUAAUACCUUGCUGUUUUGACGUUACCAACAGAAUAAGCACCGGCUAACUUCGUG
rnacentral:rRNA from 1 species